rnacentral:rRNA from 1 species
UACAGAGGGUGCAAGCGUUGUUCGGAAUUAUUGAGCGUAAAGGGCGCGUAGGCGGUUCGGCAAGUCUCUAGUGAAAUCCCGGGGCUCAACCUCGGAACUGCCUUUGAUACUGGCUAUCUUGAGUAUGGGAGAGGUGUGUGGAACUCCGAGUGUAGAGGUGAAAUUCGUAGAUAUUCGGAAGAACACCAGUGGCGAAGGCGACACACUGGCCCAUUACUGACGCUGAGGCUCGAAAGCGUGGGGAGCAAACAGG